UACACUCCUACGGGAGGCAGCAGUGGGGAAUAUUGCACAAUGGGCGCAAGCCUGAUGCAGCCAUGCCGCGUGUAUGAAGAAGGCCUUCGGGUUGUAAAGUACUUUCAGCGGGGAGGAAGGCGAUAAGGUUAAUAACCUUGUCGAUUGACGUUACCCGCAGAAGAAGCACCGGCUAACUCCGUGCCAGCAGCCGCGGUAAUACGGAGGGUGCAAGCGUUAAUCGGAAUUACUGGGCGUAAAGCGCACGCAGGCGGUCUGUCAAGUCGGAUGUGAAAUCCCCGGGCUCAACCUGGGAACUGCAUUCGAAACUGGCAGGCUAGAGUCUUGUAGAGGGGGGUAGAAUUCCAGGUGUAGCGGUGAAAUGCGUAGAGAUCUGGAGGAAUACCGGUGGCGAAGGCGGCCCCCUGGACAAAGACUGACGCUCAGGUGCGAAAGCGUGGGGAGCAAACAGGAUUAGAUACCCCUGUAGUCCCAUG
rnacentral:rRNA from 1 species